rnacentral:rRNA from 1 species
UACGGGGGGAGCAAGCGUUGUUCGGAUUUACUGGGCGUAAAGGGCGCGUAGGCGGCCACCGCAAGUCGGUUGUGAAAUCUCCGGGCUUAACCCGGAAAGGUCAAUCGAUACUGCGGGGCUAGAGUGCAGAAGGGGCAACUGGAAUUCUCGGUGUAGCGGUGAAAUGCGUAGAUAUCGAGAGGAACACCGAUGGCGAAGGCAGCCCCCUGGGUCAAGACUGACGCUCAUGCACGAAAGCGUGGGGAGCAAACAGG